rnacentral:rRNA from 1 species
AUUGAACGCUGGCGGCAUGCUUUACACAUGCAAGUCGAACGGCAGCACGGGAGCUUGCUCCUGGUGGCGAGUGGCGAACGGGUGAGUAAUGCAUCGGAACGUACCCAGUAGUGGGGGAUAGCCCGGCGAAAGCCGGAUUAAUACCGCAUAUUUCCUGAGGGAGAAAGCGGGGGACCUUCGGGCCUCGCGCUACUGGAGCGGCUGAUGUCGGAUUAGCUAGUUGGUGAGGUAAAGGCUCACCAAGGCGACGAUCCGUAGCUGGUCUGAGAGGAUGAUCAGCCACACUGGGACUGAGACACGGCCCAGACUCCUACGGGAGGCAGCAGUGGGGAAUUUUGGACAAUGGGGGCAACCCUGAUCCAGCCAUGCCGCGUGAGUG